CUCAUCUCUGACUUCGGCUACGGGAAGACUUCAUCCGGACUCCUACGGGAGCCAGACUUCUUCCCCGACUUCAACCGCAAGAAGAUUCCGUCUGGACUCCUACGGGAGCCAGAUCUCAUCUCCGACUCCGGCUACGGAAAGACUCCGCCCGGACUCCUACGAGAUCCGGGCUUCGUCCCCGACUUCGACCGCUGGUAAACUUCAUCCGGACUCCUACGGGAGCCGGACUUCACCCCUGACUU
rnacentral:lncRNA from 1 species